rnacentral:rRNA from 1 species
GACGAACGCUGGCGGCGUGCUUAACACAUGCAAGUCGAACGGAAAGGCCCUGCUUUUGUGGGGUGCUCGAGUGGCGAACGGGUGAGUAACACGUGAGUAACCUGCCCUUGACUUUGGGAUAACUUCAGGAAACUGGGGCUAAUACCGGAUAGGAGCUCCUGCUGCAUGGUGGGGGUUGGAAAGUUUCGGCGGUUGGGGAUGGACUCGCGGCUUAUCAGCUUGAUGGUGGGGUAGUGGCUUACCAAGGCUUUGACGGGUAGCCGGCCUGAGAGGGUGACCGGCCACAUUGGGACUGAGAUACGGCCCAGACUCCUACGGGAGGCAGCAGUGGGGAAUAUUGCACAAUGGGCGGAGGCCUGAUGCAGCAACGCCGCGUGCGGGAUGACGGCCUUCGGGUUGUAAACCGCUUUCGCCUGUGACGAAGCGUGAGUGACGGUAAUGGGUAAAGAAGCACCGGCUAACUACGUG